AAAUCAUGCCUAGAAAGCCUUCUGAUGACUAGUACAAUUGGGGACUGCAAGCUGCGGGUGUCAGUGUCCACAUCAAGCUCUUCUCCUCCACGUUCGCCUUCUCCUGGAAAUAGAUCACCAUAUUCUGCUUCAGACUCAACUUUUUCCCCAAAGAGUGCAAAGUCCAGUGACCUCCCUUCAUAUUCUAUACCAGAAAAGAAAGAAUACCCUGUUGACCCCUCCUUGCCUGACAUAAAAAACGACAUAUAUUCUUCAGAUGAAUUCAGGAUGUUCUCAU
rnacentral:misc_RNA from 1 species